rnacentral:pre_miRNA from 1 species
AAUAGUUUUAUGCCACAUUAGUAUUCUUAUUUUGAAUUUCAGGAUUUUAUCCUGAAAAAAAUCAAAUCCAAAUUAAAAUACUGAAAUUCAGGAUAAAAUCUUGAAAUUCAAGAUAAGAAUACUGAUGUGGCAUAAAACUAUU